CUCACAAACGGACCGAUUACUGUCAAAGUAAUGGUUGUCAGUUUGAAUCUGUCCAAUUUUUAUCUGAUUUCUGUUCGAUUUUUCGGACGAUUUCCCCGCGCCAAAAUGACAGAAAUCGAACAGUACGGAUCGGCUCGAUUUUUAUUCGAAUUCGGUUAGAUUUCCUUGGCCGGGUUUUCAUCAGUCGAAAAUGAAACGAUCAGUUUUCAGAUCUCAUAGCAACCAUGGUUUCGCUUUGUUUACUUGUCAAAGCUGCAGCACAUGUGAAAUUCUUUAUUUUUCAUUAAAUUUUUUCGAUCCGUUUUGGUCGGUUAGAAAUUGUUUCCGUGCGCGAAUGUCGAGACGGAUUUGAGGUCCACUGCCGCAAAUCGAACAGGUGAAGAAUGUGCAUUUUGACCGAAGCCAACGGGGAGGAAGAUGCACAUCCAAGCUUUCCUCUUAUUUUGCACGGAAUCGCGCAGCACAUAGGCGGCAACAUUCAAGACCCGUCUAGAAGUGGUCAAUACGGAUCUGAAAGCAUUUCGGGCUAUGAGAUUUUCCCCCAAAAGUUGAAACUAUACGAGUGCUGUUUUCUCUAAAUGUUUGUAUGUCAUGUUGACACACAGCAAUUAACUGCCGGAUAGAAGAACCGAUCGGAAUUUGCCGAAAUAUAGUGAUCCCAACUUUAAGGCACACAUGUCCUCGCCAGAAAAUUGAAAAUUUACUUCGUUUUAGAUGAAACAAGGAGAAUUCUUAAGUUUUUACGACGGAAAAUGUAUUCAGCUUCUGGAAGUGCUCGAGUUCGAAUUGGAACCUAUGACGUUGAUUUUGAAUCUCGGUGCAAAAUCUAUGAUACAAUAUUCAACAAUGAGUCACAGUUGCGAAAUCAUAUGAAAAAAAAAAACGUUCUGAUAAACAUUGCUAUUGUUUCCGCGAGUUAGUGGACCGUCACAGCUUCGAAGCCAUUUGGUGCGUCAUAAGAAGGAAAGAAUGCAUCCAUGUAAGCAUUGCGAUGUCAGCUGCGAGGAACGGUCGAUGCAGACCGCACACUUAAAAAACCAUGCGAACGAGCGGCCGCGCGCUUCUAAAUUUUGUGGCAGCACCAAGAGUUCGUCAAAGGAUCCAUACCGGGGAAAAGUCGCACAUUUGUAUCUUCUGUGACAAAGGUUUUACCCUUCCGUGGUAGCUGAAGGUCCACACGAACGAACAAUCAUUCGAAUGUCGCUGUCAGAAACGAUUCAACUAGAAUGGUACCCAUGAUACAUACUCGAAUUCACACGGGCGAGCGACUCUUCAAGUGUACCCAGUGCGAAAAUACCUACCCGAGUCAGGGUGAACUUGGCCGGAGGCCAAAUCACAAGGGUUCGUUCCUGCCGGAUGUGUCUUCAAAUUUAUCGCGGAGCCGACAUGCAAGAGGACAAUCCAUUUAAAUUACAGCUGGAGAAUAGUUGUCCAGGCACAAAGACACAGGCACAGAGGCACAGCAGCAAUCGGCUCGUCCAAAGCAGCAGCAUAAGUGAAAUUACAACAUUUUUGCGAUUAUUAUAUCUUACAUAUAUAUGUACAAAUUUUUCUUUUUUCAAAAUAAAGAAACACUGUAAAAUGGCUGGAAAAUUCAUAUGAUGACGCAAUGAUGAAAUAAAUAAAAACAAAUUUCUACA